rnacentral:tRNA from 1 species
UAAAAGGUAGUAUAAAUUAAAAAUUAUUAUGUGAAGCUGUUAACUUUGUGAUGUGCAAAAAGCACCCUUUUAG